rnacentral:rRNA from 1 species
ACGGGAGGCAGCAGUGGGGAAUAUUGCGCAAUGGGGGCAACCCUGACGCAGCAACGCCGCGUGAAGGAAGAAGGUCUUCGGAUUGUAAACUUUUGUCUUUGGGGACGAAACAAUGACGGUACCCAAGGAGGAAGCUCCGGCUAACUACGUGCCAGCAGCCGCGGUAAUACGUAGGGAGCGAGCGUUGUCCGGAAUUACUGGGUGUAAAGGGUGCGUAGGCGGGUAUGCAAGUCACAUGUGAAAUACCGAGGCUCAACUUCGGGGCUGCAUGAGAAACUGUAUAUCUUGAGUGCAGGAGAGGUAAGCGGAAUUCCUAGUGUAGCGGUGAAAUGCGUAGAUAUUAGGAGGAACACCAGUGGCGAAGGCGGCUUACUGGACUGUAACUGACGCUGAGGCACGAAAGCGUGGGGAGCGAACAGGAUUAGAUACCCUGGUA